rnacentral:lncRNA from 1 species
AUGAAAAGAUCAAUCUCAGAAACAUUCAGCUCUGUGUCUGUGAAGAGUGAUCAUUCAAUAGGUGGUGUACCAGACUUAAGUAUGGAAACAACAUCCUCUGCAGAAAGAGAAAGAUCAGGCUCACAUGUAUCCAGCUUUGUGUCCAUGAAGAGUGACCAUUCAAAAGAUGGUGGAACACCAAAUUCAGUGAGAAAACAACAUCUACGAAAAGGUAUUUAUUGUGUUUCUUGUUGUUGGUCACAGGUAGGCUGUCACUAUCAUGAAAAAUAAUUUCCAUUGAACCCUUUUUCUGAAUGGAUUAAUGCUGGGUUUCCAUGAGAUUUGUUGUUUUGAUUGAUCUAGUACAAAGGACAUAAGACCACAGUAAAUAUUGGUUCAGAAAUUACACGGUGGGAAGCUCUAAAAGCACAGAAGGGAAUGAGAAGUGAUGUGGAACUGGCAACUUUUCUUCUCAACAAGUAAGAACACCAGCACAUCUUUUAGAUACCACAGUUUUCAUUUUAGUUUAAUUUGCAACAUAAGUAAUCAACUAUACAGUAUUGUUCAAAAUAAUACAAGUACAAUUUGACUAACCAGAAUAAUCCAGGUUUUAAUAUAUUUUUUAUUGAUACGUGGCAAACAAGUUACCAGUAGGUGCAGUAGAUUCUCAGAAAACAAACAAGACCCAGCAUUCAGGAUAUGCAUGCUCUUAAGGCUGUGCAGUUGGGCAAUUAGUUGAAAGGGGUGUGUUCAAAAAAAUAGCCAGUGUGGCAUUCAAUCACUGAGGUCAUCAUUUUGUGAAAAAACCGGUGUGGAUCAGGUGGCCCCUAUUUACAGAUGAAGCCAGCACUUGUUGAACAUGCAUUUUAAAGGCCUGAGGAAAAUGUAAAAUAAAAAUUAACAGAAAAUUUAAUUAAAAAGUUGAUUGGAGAGGGGAAAAUCUAUAAAGAAAAUUAUAGGCUGUUCAGCUAAAAUGAUCUCCAAUGCCCUAAAAUUGAGAGCAAAACCAGAGAGACGUGGGAAGAAAAAAAAAUGGUUUCUCACAUAUUUAUCUUAUAUCAGAAAUGUUGUAUUUUAUUUCAUUUAAUAUGAACAAUGGC